UACGGGGGGGGCAAGCGUUGUUCGGAAUUACUGGGCGUAAAGGGCUCGUAGGCGGCCAACUAAGUCAGACGUGAAAUCCCUCGGCUUAACCGGGGAACUGCGUCUGAUACUGGAUGGCUUGAGUUUGGGAGAGGGAUGCGGAAUUCCAGGUGUAGCGGUGAAAUGCGCAGAUAUCAGGAGGAACACCAAUGGCGAAGGCAGCUCGCUGGGACGUGACUGACGCUGAGACGCGAAAGCGUGGGGAGCAAACAGG
rnacentral:rRNA from 1 species